rnacentral:rRNA from 1 species
UACGUAGGAGGCGAGCGUUGUCCGGAGUUACUGGGCGUAAAGGGUGCGUAGGCGGCCGCGCGCGUGGGGGUGAAAUCUCUCGGCUUACCCGGGAGGGGCUUUCCGAGACGGCGUGGCUUGAGGGACGGAGAGGGGCGUGGAAUUCCGGGUGGAGCGGUGAAAUGCGUAGAGAUCCGGAGGAACACCGACGGCGUAGGCAGCGCCCUGGCCGUUUCCUGACGCUGAAGCACGAAAGCUGGGGAGCAAACAGG